rnacentral:rRNA from 1 species
AUUGAACGCUGGCGGCAGGCUUAACACAUGCAAGUCGAGCGGGGUGAUGGUGCUUGCACUAUCACUUAGCGGCGGACGGGUGAGUAAUGCUUAGGAAUCUGCCUAUUAGUGGGGGACAACAUCUCGAAAGGGAUGCUAAUACCGCAUACGUCCUACGGGAGAAAGCAGGGGAUCCCUUGUGACCUUGCGCUAAUAGAUGAGCCUAAGUCGGAUUAGCUAGUUGGUGGGGUAAAGGCCUACCAAGGCGACGAUCUGUAGCGGGUCUGAGAGGAUGAUCAGCCACACUGGGACUGAGACACUGCCCAGACUCCUACGGGAGGCAGCAGUGGGGAAUAUUGGACAAUGGGGGGAACCCUGAUCCAGCCAUGCUGCGUGUGUGAAGAAGGCCUGAUGGUUGUAAAGCACUUUAAGCGAGGAGGAGGCUCUUUUGGUUAAUACCCAAGAUGAGUGGACGUUACUCGCAGAAUAAGCACCGGCUAACUCUGUGCCAGCAGCCGCCGUAA